rnacentral:lncRNA from 10 species
GUUAGAGGCUUUGUAUGUAUUAAAUCACUGAAACUCUCUGCAACUUUAGGAAAUAGUUUAUAUUAAACCCAUUUUAUAGAUGACAAAAUUGAGUUAGACAAGUUAAGUAACUGCUCAGAGCUUUAUAUACACUAAAUAUCAGAAUUAGGCUUUAUCUCAGAACUCUUUGACUCCAAGAUACAGGAAAUUAAGAACUAUUAUACUUUCUCUAUUUCUAAAUGUAAUACAAUUCACACAUUUUAAAUAUCUUAAGUGUCAAUAUCUGCCGUACAUUAAAACAAGCUACAUCAGAGAAAGUUUAUUGUCUUUUUAAGUAUUAUUUGGAAAAAAAUCUUAACUAUGUACAUAUAUAUUUAAAACUACCUAGAAUAUAUUUUCAACAAUAGAAAAUCAAAUGAAGUAAUAAAUGCUGUGGUCCGAAUAUCUGUGUCCUCUUCAGAUUUUUAUGUUGCAAUCUUAACCUUAAGUUAAUGGCAUUAAGAGGUAAGUCCUGUGGGAGGUGAUACACUGAUGGGGACAUCCCAUUAAGUAACCAGUGGGCUAAGGCAGCUCAUUUGCCAUUUCUACAGUGUGAGAAUGCAGCAACAAGGUGCCAGCUAUGAAGCAAAGAGCCCUUACCAGACAAUGAAUCUACUGACAACUUGAUCUUGGACUCUUCAGCUUCCCAAACUGGUUACCAACUAUAUCACAUAAUGGUCCUAAGGAUUAAAUGAAAAAAAAUGCAGUAAGAUAAAGCUGAUUUAUCAAGGUUGGGGAAAUGCAAUAAAGAAAGAGGUUAAUAAUUCACAGAGCCAGCUGAAUAGAAUACCAGAGUUUUAUUUCUACACAAAUCAGUCUCCCAGAGCAUUAAAUUGAAGCCAAGGGACUGAAAUAAGAAACUCCAGAGAACAACAAGAGGAACUGAAAUUGCAUGGUCAUUAGAAGGCAUCUUAAGAAUAACUGUGUAGCAGAGAAUGAGGACUCAUAUCAAAGUUUGAUUCUUUUAGUAUUGGAUUUUAUGUAAGUAAAAUUUUUAGUAUAGUCAAACAAAUAUUAUCGUCAAUAUAUUAAUGUUCAUAUUUACAUUUUCAUCAUGAUGCAGAAGAUGAAAACACUAAACAGACUAUUUGCUAAUGCUGAAAAUCUUUAGUAUUUAGGUAAGAGUUAUAUUAUACAUAAAAUAAAAAUAAUAUAAACUAAGCAUAACUGAAACGUGCUUUUUAAGACCUUGGUUUUGUUUAAAUCUAAAAAUCAAAUACAAAUGUAAUAUAAAGUUCAGUGUGUAACUAUGACAAAAAAUAUUUUGAGUUUAGGAAAUAAGCUGUAGUAUCUGGAAUUUCAAGAGGUAUAUAUAAUACAUUAUGAGAAGGAGUACUUUAAAGGUCAAAAGAAGGGAAAAUAAUAAUUUAAAGCUCAAUAAAUGAAUUCAAAUCCAUCUGACACCUUCAAGGUUUUUAACAUCAGCAAUUUCACUGAUAAUUUUUUACUAUGACUAAUAUAUACAUAUAUGU